GACGAAGGAUGCAAGCGUUAUCCGGAUUCAUUGGGUUUAAAGGGUGCGUAGGCGGUUAAGUAAGUCCGUGGUGAAAUCUCUGAGCUUAACUCAGAAACUGCCGUGGAUACUAUUUGCCUUGAAUAUUGUGGAGGUGAGCGGAAUAUGUCAUGUAGCGGUGAAAUGCUUAGAUAUGACAUAGAACACCAAUUGCGAAGGCAGCUCACUACACAAUCAUUGACGCUGAGGCACGAAAGCGUGGGGAUCAAACAGG
rnacentral:rRNA from 1 species